GGUUUAGACAUUGUUCAGAUGAGUUCCAAGCAUGCAUGUUUGCCACCAGCAAACAACGUCUAGUUAAGAAACCAAUUCUCCGCAGAUAAUAUGGAUUUGGGCGCUGAAUAUGGAAGAUAACACAUGUGGAUCUAGAUUUCGGGAUAUUGCACGCAAAAUGCUAAGAUGGUGUCACCCACAACGAAGAGAGACUCAAAAUGGAAUCGACAAUUUUUCCUUUUUUUAGAAGCCUGGUACCCUUAAGAAAAUAUAUAAAUACCUUUU
rnacentral:sRNA from 1 species